CUAGGAUUAUAGCAAAUUUCUUGCUGUAUCUCCAACUUUCAUCAUGGAUCUUAGAAUACAGUGGCCUUCAAGUAAGUGUUCAUGAGAUGAAUAAAUGAGAAAGAGAGAGAAGACAAAAAGAAACUGAACAACAAAAGGAAAAAGAAAGCUUCAUACAACCCUCGGCACACAGCAAACUGGUCCUCCAGGCCAUCCCUGGUCACGGUGAAGUUGAUCAGGGUGGCCUGAGCCUGCAGCUCAGGCUGGUAGUGAGGAUUAGCCAGCUUGGUGUGGAGGAUGAGCCGGAACUUGGGAUUGUAUUCACAUUCUUUGUCUCCAAUUUUAAUGAAUCUGGAACAUAAAGGCUCAUGUGAAGGUGUCCUGAUGACAUAGAACAGGAUGAGUACUGAAACCACAAGGCUAAAAUGAAGGGAGGCAUGAGGGAUGUCAAGGCCCAAGCCACUGAAGCC
rnacentral:lncRNA from 10 species